AGAGUUUGAUCAUGGCUUAGGACGAACGCUGGCGGCGCGCCUAAUACAUGCAUGUCGAGCGAGAACCAGGGCUUGCCCUGGGGAGAGCGGCGAACGGGUGCGUAUCACGUGAGCAACCUGCCUCAGAGACCGGGAUAACUCGAGGAAACUCGGGCUAAUACCGGAUGCCCUCGGUGGACCGCAUGGUCCGGCGAGGAAAUGGAUUCCGCUCUGAGAUGGGCUCGCGGCCUAUCAGCUUGUUGGUGGGGUAACGGCCUACCAAGGCAACGACGGGUAGCUGGUCUGAGAGGACGAUCAGCCACACUGGGACUGAGACACGGCCCAGACUCCUACGGGAGGCAGCAGUAGGGAAUCUUGCGCAAUGGGGGAAACCCUGACGCAGCGACGCCGCGUGCGGGAUGAAGGCCUUCGGGUCGUAAACCGCUUUCAGCAGGGACGAAAUUGACGGUACCUGCAGAAGAAGGCCCGGCCAACUACGUGCCAGCCGCCGCGGUAAUACA
rnacentral:rRNA from 1 species